CAAUUGCGUAUAUUAAAGUUGUUGCGGUUAAAAAGCUCGUAGUUGGAUUUCUGCUGAGAACGACCGGUCCGCCCUUUGGGUGUGUAUCUGGCUCUUUCUUGGCAUCUUCUUGGUGAACGUUGCUGCACUUGACUGUGUGGAGCGCUACCCAGGACUUUUACUUUGAGGAAAUUAGAGUGUUUCAAGCAGGCAUACGCCUUGAAUACAUUAGCAUGGAAUAAUAAGAUAGGACCUCGGUUCUAUUUUGUUGGUUUCUAGAGCUGAGGUAAUGAUUAAUAGGGAUAGUUGGGGGCAUUCGUAUUUAACUGUCAGAGGUGAAAUUCUUGGAUUUGUUAAAGACGGACUACUGCGAANGNAUUUGCNAAGGAUGUUUNCAUUG
rnacentral:rRNA from 1 species